rnacentral:rRNA from 1 species
UACAGAGGUGGCAAGCGUUGUUCGGAAUUACUGGGCGUAAAGGGCGCGUAGGCGGCCUUCUAAGUCAGACGUGAAAUCCCCCGGCUUAACCUGGGAACUGCGUCUGAUACUGGGAGGCUAGAGUGCGGGAGAGGGAUGCGGAAUUCCAGGUGUAGCGGUGAAAUGCGUAGAUAUCUGGAGGAACACCGGUGGCGAAGGCGGCGUCCUGGACCGACACUGACGCUGAGGCGCGAAAGCUAGGGUAGCAAACGGG